CCUACGGGCGGCUGCAGUGGGGAAUAUUGGACAAUGGGCGAAAGCCUGAUCCAGCCAUGCCGCGUGUGUGAAGAAGGCCUUCGGGUUGUAAAGCACUUUCAGUGGGGAAGAAAGCCUUGGGGCUAAUACCCUCGAGGAAGGACAUCACCCACAGAAGAAGCACCGGCUAACUCCGUGCCAGCAGCCGCGGUAAUACGGAGGGUGCGAGCGUUAAUCGGAAUUACUGGGCGUAAAGCGCGCGUAGGCGGUCUGAUAAGCCGGUUGUGAAAGCCCCGGGCUCAACCUGGGAACGGCAUCCGGAACUGUCAGGCUAGAGUGCAGGAGAGGAAGGUAGAAUUCCCGGUGUAGCGGUGAAAUGCGUAGAGAUCGGGAGGAAUACCAGUGGCGAAGGCGGCCUUCUGGACUGACACUGACGCUGAGGUGCGAAAGCGUGGGUAGCAAACAGGAUUAGAUACCCCUGAGUC
rnacentral:rRNA from 1 species